CCCUGGUCGGUGUGAACCCUUUGUGUACCAGGAGGGGUUCCUCCCCAGGUGGCCCUGGGAAGAUAAUCCCACCCGGAGGCUUCCACUAUGGGCACCUGGACACAAUGCAGGGACUCACAGCAUAAGAGCAAAGUUACAUUGGGAACCAGGAACGAUUCAGCUGGGUGUGUUGAAGGCUCCGGUAUCAGCUCAGGAUUGCGCAGGAUCUUUCUGGCAAGCAUUGCACUCUCCUGGGUUUCGAUGCUGUGAGAAUUACAAUUCAUCCAGAGUUCAAGCCUUUGGUUAAGACAAUGUCCUCAGGGUUAUGAGGUAUGUUAAAUGGCAGAAGAAAAAGCUACUGUUCUGGUUCUCCUGCUCAGCUGCAUUACAUCAGGUGUGCUGUGGAAUAGCUAAUCCCAUCCUAUUUAGACAUCCAGACCUCAACUCCACAGAGGUCACUUCUGCAACCCAGUGGAGCUUUGUGGGCUUUCCCUUUGACCUUGGCCAUGUAGAAGCACCAGGACCUCACACGCAAUCAAAAACAUGGGGUAGGAGUACCACAACUCAGUGUCAGGCCCGUUCUUUAUUCCCUUUUCUCUGGAAGGAAAUGACUGGAAUAUGACUCAGCCCACUGCUAAUCCCAGCUGUACGUGAGAUCAAUCCCAGUGUAAAGGCAGGCAUGGCACCUCCCACAGCUCUGCUUCUUGACGUGGUGCUUGUGGGUUUUAGCAGCCUCUAACGAAACGGUAAGGAGAAAUGCUUUGCUUUUUUUAUUUUAUUUCUAUAUUUAUUUUAUCCAUAAAGACUCCUUGAAGCUGAAACACUUUGCAGAAGCACCCAUUGAUGCCCAGAGAGAAGAUCACUUUGUACUUAAGUCAGCAGCUUGCUUACCUCAUAGAUUGCCAGAGAGACCGAGCCCAGGGGUUACAGCUUCUAGAGGCCCCUCCACAUCACCCAGCUCUUCCUCUGCCAGUGUGGGGCUGCUGUGAGCUGUGCUGAACCCUUUUGAAGUGAGGCCUCAGCUCCCAGGAGUGCUCCAGCCGCUGGUCAAGCAGACCCCAUGCUGUUGGCUCCUGGCAGAUUGGGUAUUCAACAAGCUUCGCAGACCCAUCGCAGGGCCCUUUCCUAUUUCUUUUUAAGGAAACAUUCUGAUAUGAUAUUUUCUCCCUCUGUGGGAAAUGUCAACAUUUAUGAAAUGGGAGCAAACUGUUUAAAUUUUUUAUAGACUGAAAAGAUUAAGCUUUGGCCAGUUCUCGUCAAAAUUUCCCUGGUUCCCCAUAAGCAAAUGAAUUUGAGUGAAAAAGCAUCAUUGUCUGCAGUGCUGCACGGAGAAAGCCAUCAACUUGUUCCCUGCAGUCCUACCUUGUUACUUGAGUAUGCAUGGGAAUCCGAGGUGUAUCUUUAUAGGUCCGUAUUUCCACGACCUCCAGUAUUCUUUCUCUCAUUUGUUAUUUUAUCGUGUAACCUGGAUAGAGCUACAAUUCUAGUGGCACUUUAAAACACUAUUGCUUGUAUAUGCUCCAAUUGCAGCUCUGAUGAAGCAGAUGAGAUAAAGCAGUGUUCUCAUCUCUGCAUCUCAGACACAAUAAGGACAGAUAAAGAAAUGCAAGGACCAUUGCAAAACACUGUUUAUUACUAUUUUCAGUGGCGGUGAGUACUCCAAAUGAAUCCCUGUACAGCUGAACUUUUGCAUCAGACAAUACUGCUGGGACCUCAGCAGACCACAGUCAGCUCAUUUUUUGCAUCUGAAUCCCUAAAAAAAGAACACCCAGACUUUUAGGGUGGAAUUCAUUUUAAUCAAAUAUUUGUGUCUUAUGUUGUGGCUUUAAAACAAUCACUGUCCAGUGGAAAGUGAUACAAUAUGGCACACUGAAAAGCAUUCCCAGAGUCAUCAGAAUGCAAUCGCUGAGGAGUUCAUUUUCUGCAAGGUCUUAAAACACAACCAUGCAGUAAAAAAACUUUAUUUCAUUGUCUGGCUAUUCUGCCAAGUCCGUUCCUUCCUGGAAUGUUUAUUAAAUUUAGUUUCAUGUGGUCUGUAAAUAUAUAUACAUACAUGCAUUCAUAUCUGGUCUCCUCUUGCCUCAGGAGGCUGGGUGGGCUGCAGCCUGCUUUAGGGGAAUUAGUACUAGUGCUCGAAUUUUAGCUACAUGCAAAGAUGUGACAAAACAAAUUUGCUCUCCCUGUGGGAGCUUUGCCCUCCCUGUGGAUGACUAAAUCUAGAUUACAUAGCUCGUGCUGAUAAAAAUGCAGCAAUCUCUUCUUUCGUUAAUAUUUUUGUGUUGGAGUUUUUCUUUCUUCUUCUUUUUUUUUUUUUUUUUUUUUUUUGACCAAGAGCACAGAGUAUUGACUUGAUGAUUCCAACGCAGCUGUCUGGCAGUGUUAAUCAAUGAUCUCUGCUUGCUCACAAUGUACUACCAGCGUUAGAUCAUGGUGACAAGAGCAGUACAAGCUUAGUGCAGCCUCCGAGUAAAUCAUCACUCUCUUAGUCACUAUGAGCACUUGGACUAAAUGAGCAUUUGGAGUAAAUACUGUUUUCCACAUGUUAGAAACCAAGUAAAAUUGCUCCUCUCCUCUCCCCACAAACUGUUUCGUAUCUCUGAUUACUGUGCCCAUCGCAAGAUACUCUUCUGUCUUCCAUAGCUAGAUAAUUGAAUCCCUAUUGUUUCCAUAGUCUUAAUGAAGUUCCUGUAAGAUCCUUGCUUGUUACAUCUGAAAAUUGAAUAAAAAAUUCCUUUGUGCUGACAGCUUCAUUGUAGUCAGUGUUCAAAAUAUCAAAGGAAGAACACUAAAUGUUCAUAAUGUAAAGUGUCAGGAGUGCAAUCUGGGAUAAUAGAAUACAUGUCUUGCAAACUUGCACUUUAAUAUGGCAAACUACUUGGUCAGCAAGCAAAUUAAUUCAUUUAGGAUUUGAUAUUAUUGCAAGCAGUGGGUCAGCUUGUGCAGGCAGCUCUGUCUUAUGAUGAAUUUUGCUAGCACACGGCACUGUCUGUGUGUGCAGAUGCCAACCACAGAACGACUGCCUGGUUGGUGUAAGGAUAUAAUAGCAGUGACUUCCCAAACAUGUCUGUGUUCCCUGUAUUCUUUCAUAAGCUUGCUUACUUUUUUUUCCCAAUGCAUGCUCGCCGUUCAAAGAGACUAAUAAACAUUUGCUGUAAUUAUCUGGUUAUCCCUUCAAAAUACCAAUUGUUGUACUGUACGAAUUGAUGGCGCAGAUGUUUAAAGCACGAACAGAUGAAUGCAGUGAAAUGCUGUCAAUGGAGUGUUGUCUCCCACAGUUCCACCAAGAAACCUGAACAUAUUUUCUGGCAGAACUGCUCAUUUUCCCAAGGCAGAUAUUUGCAAGCUUACCUCUGUAGCUUGUGAAUACCAAAAUGAAUGGUAAAUAUUAACCUCUGAGAGCUAGAACAAUGUGAAAAAUUACAAAAGUAAAUGUUAGCAGAGAUAUCUGUUACACAGGCAAAGAGAGAGACGGCACUGAAAGGAUUUAUGUUAUUUUUGAGCCUUGGCUUGCACACGAAUGAUGUGAAUCUUUCUACUGAAAGAAAAGUGAGGUCCAAUUUUUCAAAACGUUGCCUUGAAGUUUUGUUUUUCAGAGUUGGUGACCUGAUUGGAAAAGCAGCUCUCUGGAAAAAUAAUUAUGGGAGACAAAAAAUAAUAAGAAAAAAGAAAGAAAAUACGUGAUGUGCUGUAGAAGUUCCAGCUGCAAACAGAUUUUCAUUCUCUUGUGCAUAAGAAAGCAAAUAAAAAAUGAAAGCAACUACGCAAAAAGAAGAGCAGAAAGCAACAAAUGGAUUAACAGGGAGCAAUCAGCAUCUGCCAAGCAGCGAGAGUACCAAAGCUGCCAUUAGUAUCUCCCCAGUCUAACUGGUUCGAUUUCCUCCUCACCUCUGAAGGACGAUCCUGCACAGCAGCUGUAUCAGCAUAGACACUGCUGGGGGGUUGUUGCCUUCUGCAAGAGUAUUCGGGACCCUCAACCAAAACCUUCUGCCUUCCUGCUAAAUGAUUGAAGAAUAUCUUGUAAAUCAUUUACCUCUCCCUGCUGCUGGCUUUCUGUUGAUAGUGUUUACUCUGCUUCCAACACGAUGGCAAAGUUAAAUUUUCAUCUUGCAGAAAAAAAAUAAAAAGAACAAAAUACGGUGAGCCUUUUUGCUCGUUAUUGCCUGAUCUUUCUGGAGCGAGCUGUUUCUCAAUCCCAUGCAUCACAGAUGUCCUGUCAAGGCUCAUAUACACCCAGUGAAGUAUUUGCAUCCCCGUGCCUGCUGAUAGAGUGAGCAUGUUUGUCUACAAAGUGCUUUUAAAUGAACUAAUACAUGAUUCAUGCGGGCUCCUUUGAGCAGAACACCAAUCUGUCUGGACACAGUUUGCUGUAGGCUUGACAACAGGAGAGUUUCUCUGAGUGAGACGGGUGCAGCGACCUCCUGGCGGGAUGGGUCAGCAUCCAGGUGCCAGCGGGGGACAGACCCCACUUGUCUGCCACGUCCCUCGUGUCGUCUCUCUCCGGUGCCGGUGACACAGACCUCUGCCUGCUCAGUCAUGCUUGUGCAGGAGUGGGUAGUGCACUACCUUUAUCAUCUAUACAGGGAUACAACAAGAUUUUUUGCACUCAAGGAGAGAAAAAAAUUGAUCCCAUGUAUACUGUUUCCUAUUGAACUAAAUAGAUUUUUAAUCGAGUCUCUGCUCCUUUGGGUAAUUGACUUAACAGUGUGGGCAAAUUAAUUUCAGAUAAACCAUCACUGGGAUUUUCCAAGGAGAUUUUCCUGGGGUGCUGGGAGUCAGCCUGGCGCAGCAGCGGUGGGACAAUCAUCUUAGUUCCUCUGGUGCUGCCCAAACGGUUCAACCUAGGACCAAAUUCUGGAGCUUUUAUGUGAGAAAACCUCCCACCAAAGUCAUUGAUUCAGGAAGAAUUUAGGAGGAAGUUUUUCACCCAGAGGGUGGUGACGCACUGAACAGGUUGCCCAAGGAGGCUGUGGAUGCCCCAUCCCUGCAGGCAUUCAAGGCCAGGCUGGAUGUGGCUCUGGGCAGCCUGGUCUGCUGGUUGGUGACCCUGCACAUAGCAGGGGGUUGGAAGUGGAUGAUCACUGUUGUCCUUUUCAAACCAGGCCAUUCUACGAUUCUUUGAUUCUACGACUCUAUGAUAAGAAUCAGCAGAAAUCGGUUCAAAAAAUUCCCAAGUGCUUGCAAAAGUGUUAUGCACACGUAACCUCUGCCCCUCGUUUAAUAACCUAAUCUAAAUGUCGCUCGGUGCAGCCCAUUAUUGUUCAAAUCUUUCUGUGAUAUUUGGCACAAAUACCUCCUUUUGGAUCUUAUCUGGGCAGAAAAGCUAUUGAAACAAGUUUAUUUUCCGGUGACCCAACCAGAACCCCACUCCAGUGGUGAAAGAUUGGCAAGGAAAAUUAGCAUUGCACUGUGGCCCCAAAAUAUUUCCUUCCCUCUGGUCUAAAGCAGAUAGCUCCACUUGUAUUAAAGCCCUUUCCACAAAGUACAUUGGAAAAGUGGGGAACUUAGAGCACUUUUUAAUUCUAUUCAAGUCAUAAACAGGCAGGAAAGAAAAUUACACCGCGGUUUAUGUUCUUGGGGGAUUGCUCCCUUUGGUUUUCCCCAAAUUUGGACUCUCAGCAAGACAAAGGAGUCAGUGCUCUCUUGUCUGGUCUGGCAGCAGUGCUGACCCACAGCAGCGGCCAGGGGUGAUGUGUGCAGACCCUUCAGCUUUUUCAUUGGUGAGACGGAGGCAAUUGUGUACAUUUUCCCUCCUUCCAAUGUCAAACCUAUUAAAUCCUAAAUCAUUUACAUAGGUCACGGUACCUAUACUAACUUACUGAAGUAACACUCCUUCCAAUAUUUUUUAAGGAAAUGAAAACUAUACAAUUUAAGAUUCUGUAGCUGCUUUUCAUUGCUGAAAAAUUAUAUUCUGCAGACUGAAUACAAUAAAAACGCUAUUAAAGAAAGAACGUCUGCUGUAUGGAAAUAUCUUACAUUACAUGAUUUGGUACCCUGCUCAUAACUUCGGUAAUUAAGGAGGAGAUCAACUAGC
ensembl:lncRNA